rnacentral:rRNA from 1 species
AUACGGAGGAUCCUAGUGUUAUCCGGAUUUAUUGGGUUUAAAGGGAGCGUAGGCGGGAGGUCAAGUCAGCUGUGAAAUGUAUCUGCUUAACGGGUACACUGCAGUUGAAACUGGUUUUCUUGAGUGCGUAAGAGGCAGGCGGAAUUCGUUGUGUAGCGGUGAAAUGCUUAGAUAUGACGAGGAACUCCUAUUGCGAAGGCAGCUUGCUGGGUCGUUACUGACGCUGAUGCUCGAAGGUGCGGGGAUCAAACAGGAUUAGAUACCCUGGUAGUCCGCACAGUAAACUAUGGAUACUCUCUGCCGGCGAUAUAUUGUCGGUGGCCAAGCGAAAGCGUUAAGUAUCCCACCUGGGGAGUACGUUCGCAAGAAUGAAACUAAAAUGAAUUGACGGGG